rnacentral:tRNA from 1 species
GUGUGCGUAGCUCAGCAGUUAUAGCAUCCCUCUGGAUUGGGGUGGUCAUGGGUUCAAAUCCCAUUGCACACA